rnacentral:rRNA from 1 species
UACGUAGGUGGCAAGCGUUGUCCGGAAUUAUUGGGCGUAAAGAGCUCGUAGGCGGUUUGUCGCGUCUGCUGUGAAAGACCGGGGCUCAACUCCGGUUCUGCAGUGGGUACGGGCAGACUAGAGUGCAGUAGGGGAGACUGGAAUUCCUGGUGUAGCGGUGAAAUGCGCAGAUAUCAGGAGGAACACCAGUGGCGAAGGCGGGGUCUCUGGGCCGAUACUGACGCUGAGGAGCGAAAGCGUGGGGAGCGAACAGG